rnacentral:rRNA from 1 species
AAAUGAAUAGACGGGGACCCGCACAAGCGGUGGAGCAUGUGGUUUAAUUCGACGCAACGCGAAGAACCUUACCAGGGCUUGACAUCCCUCGCAAUCUUUGGAAACAAGGAGUUCUAUAUUUCGGUAUAGACGAGGAGACAGGUGGUGCAUGGUUGUCGUCAGCUCGUGUCGUGAGAUGUUGGGUUAAGUCCCGCAACGAGCGCAACCCCUACGUUUAGUUGCCAGCACUAAGGGUGGGAACUCUAAACGAACUGCCGGUGACAAACCGGAGGAAGGUGGGGACGACGUCAAAUCAUCAUGCCCUUUAUGUUCUGGGCUACACACGUGCUACAAUGGCCGGUACAGAGGGAAGCGAAGGAGCGAUCCGGAGCGAAUCCCAAAAAGCCGGUCACAGUUCGGAUUGCAGGCUGCAACUCGCCUGCAUGAAGUCGGAAUCGCUAGUAAUCGCGAGUCAGCAUAUCGCGGUGAAUACGUUCCCGGGUCUUGUACACACCGCCCGU